AUUUAAUAUGACUUACUAUAACACGAUUUUAAACUAAAUAAGAAGCAGCCGCAUUUUAUUUAGUUCGUUUACAUCCCGCUUUAGACAACCAAGUGUUUCUAAACAAGGUUACUUAUUUCAAUGUUGCCUACGAUUUAGUCGCAAAGUAAUGUUUGCAUUUAAACAUGAUUACAAAAAGUAAAAAGUUUGACUUCGUAAAAAACAUAUUUUAACCUCAAUUACCUCGCAUAUAUUCUUUUCUUACUUUAAAUACCCCUUCUUUUAUUAUGGAAAAUCAUUCUCCUC
rnacentral:lncRNA from 1 species